rnacentral:rRNA from 1 species
UGUCCUGGACCCGAAGCGGGAUGAUCUAGCCCUGGGCAGGUUGAAGCGCGGGUAAGACCGCGUGGAGGACCGAACCCACCUGGGUUGAAAACCGGGGGGAUGACCUGGGGCUAGGGGUGAAAGGCCAAUCAAAUUCCGUGAUAGCUGGUUCUCUCCGAAAUGCAUUUAGGUGCAGCGUCGGUCGAUUGCGUCGCGGGGGUAGAGCUACCGGAUGCUUGCGGGCCCUUGUUGGGUACCAACAGCAGCCGAACUCCGAAUACCGUUGACGUGUAUUCCGGCAGUGAGUCGGCGGGGGAUAAGCUCCGUCGUCGAGAGGGAGACAGCCCAGACCGUCGUCUAAGGUCCCGAAGCGUGUGCUAAGUGGGAAAGGAUGUGGAGUCGCAUAGACAGCCAGGAGGUUGGCUCAGAAGCAGCCAUCCUUGAAAGAGUGCGUAACAGCUCACUGGUCUAGUGGUUCCGCGCCGACAAUGUAGCGGGGCUCAAGCACACCACCGAAGACGCGGCAGCGGCCUUUGCGGCCGUUGGGUAGGAGAGCGUCCCGCGUGGGGCGAAGCGGCCGGGGAACCGUGCCGUGGACCGCGCGGGAGUGAGAAUGCAGACAUGAGUAGCGAGAGACGGGUGAGGAUCCCGUCCGCUGGAUGACCAAGGGUUCCGGGGCCACGUUCGUCGUCCCCGGGUGAGUCGGGUCCUAAGGCGAGGCCGACAGGCGUAGUCGAAUGGAUGAACGGGUGGAUAUUCCCGUACCGGCGGCGUACCGUAAGAGCCGAACGGAUGAGUACUAACCUCCGGUCGCGUGGCGUCGUUCCCUUCGGGGUUCGGGGCGCGUGGCUGUUGGGAGCGUAGUCCUGGUAGGCUAGCGCACAGGGGUGACACGGAAUGGGAGCCGGCCGCGGAGGUGGUUUUCCGUGGUCAAGCACGCAGCCAGUCAUGUAGGCAAAUCCGCAUGGCGCGCAUGGCGAGGUGUGAUGAUGGGAGCCUUUUGGCUCGAUAUCCGGUUGUCCAGGCCGUCGAGAAAAGCCUCGGCGUGAGGGCCAUGGCCGCCCGUACCCCAAACCGACACUGGUGGUCAGGUAGAGAAUACCAAGGCGAUCGAGCGAAUCCUGGUCAAGGAACUCGGCAAAUCACUCCCGUGCCUUCGGUAUAAGGGAGACCCCCGGGCGUGAAGAGGCUUGCCCUCGGAGCGUUGGGGGGUGGCACAGACCAGGGGGUAGCGACUGUUUACCAAAAACACAGGUGCAUGCGAAGGCGCAAGCCGCUGUAUAUGCACUGACGCCUGCCCGGUGCCGGAAGGUUAAGAGGAUCCGUCAAUCCCUUCGGGGACGAAGCGGUGAAUUCAAGCCCCGGUAAACGGCGGUGGUAACUAUAACCAUCCUAAGGUAGCGAAAUUCCUUGUCGGGUAAGUUCCGACCUGCACGAAUGGCGUAACGACUUCCCCACUGUCUCGACCAGGAGCUCGGCGAAAUUGCAGUACGAGUAAAGAUGCUCGUUAAGCGCAGAAGGACGAAAAGACCCCGGGACCUUUACUAUACCUUGGUAUUGGCGUUAGGCGCGGAUUGUGUAGCAUAGGCGGGAGGCUUCGAAGCAUGGGCGCCAGCCCGUGUGGAGCCGCAAGGUGAAAUACCGCUCUGUUCUCGUUUGACGUCUAACCUCGAACAGUCAUCCUGUUCAGGGACAGUGCCUGGCGGGUAGUUUAACUGGGGCGGUUGCCUCCCAAAGAGUAACGGAGGCGCUCAAAGGUCCGCUCAGCCCGGUUGGCAAUCGGGUUUCGAGUGUAAUCGCACAAGCGGGCUUGACUGCGAGAACGACGGUUCGGGCAGGGACGAAAGUCGGAGAUAGUGAUCCGGUGCCGGCGCACGGGCGCGGCAUCGCUCAACGGAUAAAAGGUACCCCGGGGAUAACAGGCUGAUCAUUCCCAAGAGUCCAUAUCGACGGGAUGGUUUGGCACCUCGAUGUCGGCUCGUCGCAUCCUGGGGCUGGAGCAGGUCCCAAGGGUUCGGCUGUUCGCCGAUUAAAGCGGCACGCGAGCUGGGUUCAGAACGUCGUGAGACAGUUUGGUCUCUAUCCUCUGCGCUCGUUGGAAUCCUGAGGAGGCCUGCCCAUAGUACGAGAGGACCUGGGUGGACGAACCUCUGGUAUGCCGGUUGUCGCGCCAGCGGCACGGCCGGUUGGCUACGUUCGGGAGGGAUAACCGCUGAAAGCAUCUAAGCGGGAAGCCUGCUCCAAGAUUAGGAUUCC